rnacentral:lncRNA from 1 species
GUAAAUGGAAAUAAUGCUAAAAAUUUAAACUUGUUUCCAAAUAUUUACAUUUGCUUUGAGUUUCCCAAAGAAAUCACUGAUUUAGGGAUUAGAAAAUGAAUGAGCAUUUUUAAUAACAAUGCAAUAUUGAUACAAAGACAAACAAUUUGGGCGACAGCUGCCUCCAUUCUGAAAAGCAUAUGGAGUGUACACAUUUAGUUUCAAAGAACAAAAGAAAAUGCUUAGUAGAAAAAACAGCCCAGAAAAGCAAACAGUAAGUUGUGGGGACUGGGGGGUAGAACAGAAAGAAGACGCUUGAUGAGCAUUCCUAUAGUAGUGAUACCACAAGACACUGGGCCCCCGGAACCAUCAUCCACCCAAACCUAAGGUUGGGUAUCCUUCUCUUAUUUUCCUAUAAAAUUUGCACAUAACAUUUUAAAGCUCUAC